UCAUUUACUCAUCAACCGGCAUUCCAUCUUCAUCGUCUUCCCUCUUCACCGAAUAUCAUUUUUCUCCAGAUCUGUUCUUCGUCAUUUUUCUCCUUCUGAAUCGGUUUUCAGAUCAGUGUAGAUCGUUGGCCGAUCUACAGUUUGAGUAUGGUUUCGAGUUGUACUUACAUCAAAACCGUUGUUGCUAUUUGUUGCAAAAUGGUUCUGAAUUCAUAUUUGCUUAGAUCCUUCGCUGAUGUAUCAUUUCUCAGACCAUGGACGAUGCCUUUGGCUAAAUUAAGGUUAGAUCUGAUGGAUUUGGUACGAGAUUUCUGAUCCAUUGCUUGAAGAGUUUAAUCCGUUGUAAGACCUUUUCAAAGAGAGUUUUGUGAUCUGAAAUGAAUGAAGGUUUUGACUUUUAUUUAUAAACUCGGUGGAGGCUUAGUUGUUCGAGGAUAGAGUUUCAUCGGUAAUCACCAUUCGAUUCUGGUGAAUAUAACCAUCUCUGUGUAGAGCUCGAAGACAAUUCGAUAUUACUGGUGCUCUAUUUUUGCCUAGAUCUUUAGGGAUGGUAAUCAGCAAGCUUGAAGUUGUUAGACAAGGUUAACAUAGUUUAAUUUGUUGUCUAUUUUCAGCUUUAAUUAUUAAAAUUUCCAUUAGUUUUACUGAUAUGCAUGCAUAUGUACGAGUAAAUGAUGUGGCCGUAGAGAAAAGAGAGGAUAUGUGAGGUCAUCUAUUGUUGUUUACCGACCUUUGCCAUGAUGGGUGCGCUCACAUGGCAGGUCACUAUACCUAAUAAAGUUUCGAUUUUUGUGUUUGGAGAGGAGAUGGUACGGGGUUUUUUGCCCGGCUCUCCUCUCUGUGUCUUGUCUUGCCUUCCCUUCUUUGCCCCCUAGAAUUGUUUUGCAAGAUCUACUCGGAUAAACGUCUCAUCAAAUUGGCGGUAUUCUACCCGAACGAUGAUUUUAAUAACUUCGAAGUUAUAGCAGCGCUCCACAUUUCAAGGGUUAGGUAUAUCAUGCACUCUUUAAUACAACAAUUGACAGGCGAAUACUAGGAUUAUUCAGCUCAAGUACUUCAACCAAAGGUACAUUUAUGAAUUCCUUUCACUAACAUUGAUAUUUGAUUUGCAUAGCAUUUGUUCUUUCCAUGAGUAAGUAACCUUGCCAAUAGUCGUCGGUAAAUUUUCCAAUUAUCUCUUGAGCACAGGUAGCAAAAUGGGUAAGGACAUGUAAGAAUCAAUUUUAGUUGACUUGGGGUGAACUAAUGAUUUAUGUUGAAUAAUGGAAUAAUUCAAUGCAACAGUCUUUAACUACUUAACAAAUAAUAAGAUGUUUAAUACAUUUUGAAUAAUCAUCUCACAUAUGGUAGCUUAAUGAUGUCUGUAAUGAGUGAACUGGUUUUCCAAAUAUGAGUUUUUGAAAUUUGUACCACCUUUUAAAUUCAGGUUUCAGAUUCUGAUUUCCCUUUUGUGAUCGUAUAGACAUGCCACUAAAUUUUUAAUUGGCCAUUCUUAAUUGAUAAUAGAUCUUAACCUGAUGAAUCAUCCAUUUUCAAUAUCUCCAGUAAAUUCUGUAAUUAACAGUAUUUGAAUCAACAUCUAUCACUACUAAUUUAACAUGAAUUGGUUCUCUUUGGACUUUCUACUUAUGACUACAUGAUUGGCUAUUGUAUAUUUUUAUCAUCACUGGGAAAAUUUCUGUACAUUUUAUCAUUCAAAGGUAGUUGGACUAUCUUUGGAUUUUAUUCUUGAUGUAAUUUAAUAGUGGAUUUUAAUGGAGUGUCUCCUAUCGAGCUCAUUUUGUAAUCCUAUAGGUGGAAUGUAUAUUGGGGUUUGUUUUUAAGUAUUCAGUUUAUGGUCGUUUGUGAUUCUUUUCUGUACUGGUUGUUCCUCUGCUGUUUGGUCCUUCUGGAUGCUGGGGAGUUUAAGCUUUUGCCUCAGGUGGAAUCAUUGAUUGACCUGGAUGUUGCUGUAUUAAACUGAAAUGGAUCUGCCCCUGCAGAAAUCAAAUACUAUGUUGAAGUUUGGACUUUUUUCAUGGAUCAUUUUCACUCGGAAUUUCUCAUUUGCUAUCGUGCUCCUGGUGAAAUCAAAUAUUAUGUUGUGCUUUUGGACUCUGUUUCUGGAUGAUCUUCACUUGUAAUUUUGUGUUUGCCAUAGUUCUCCUGCUGAUAUCAAUUAUUAUGUUGAACUUUUGGACUCAGUCCCUGGAUUAUCUUCAAUUGGAAUUCCUCGUUCACUAUCAAUCUCCAGCUGUUUGCUCUGUUAGGAUGACUGUUGGAUUAGUUGCAGAUCUUUAUAGAGUGAUGCUGAUGGCCGAGUUGCUGAGGCUGUCUGAGAUUGUUGUUUACUUCAUAAGUGAAGCUUUGAUACUGUUGUCAAAAGCUGUAUACCAUUUACUGUGUUGUUGCUUAAAGAAAGUAACAUCAGUCUCAUUAUUUGAUCUAUUUGUGCUAGUCUUGCUAUUUUUUUUGCCUUUGAAGCUGAGUAUGGCAAUCUACGAUGGAGUAUGGUUACAAUUUACUAUUAUGCCUAAAUUGAGAAGUUGAUGUUGUGUAGGCAGAAUAGUGAGGAUAUUUGCCCACUUGUGCUAAGUAGAUUGUGCAAGUGUAUCAUUUCUCUUCACUGAAGGUUUACUACAAGGAAAACUGUCAUCCGUCUAUAUGUGAUAACUGGAUCAUCUGUUGAGCGGUUGAGAAAUAUGUCAACGAAGGUUCCUUUAUAUAAAGCAUUUACUAUAUAAAGUCGAGCUGAAGCAUUCCCUUGCCACAUAAGAAGUCGGAACAAUACAAGUGAAUGAAAACUUGUUGUACCUGACUUUCUUUUCAAAUAAGUUUUUUCCUAAUAUUCAGCAGAUAACUGAGUCUGCUAGUGUUAAGGCCAACUAUUUUAUUUACAUGAAUCCUUUGAUUGAUGGUGACCUACUAAAAGAUUGGUGGACAGAUUCUGUCACCUACUCUUGUUAUAUUAACUUGCUGAAUUUUUUCGUGUGCAAGUGAAAUUAUUUUUAUAAUUGUAAGACGUGCUAUUUUUUCCUAUGAAA